GGAAGGAUCAUUAAUGCUAAAGUGGGUUUUAUUUGCCUGCUAUUUCAACAACUUGAGAACUGGGGUGUUUAUUAUUUAUUUCAUCUACUACAUACAACUAAAGUAAAUUUUAAAAACUAUAACAACUUUUAGCAAUGGAUAUCUUGGUUCCCACAACGAUGAAGAACGCAGCGAAAUGCGAUACGUAAUGCGAAUUGCAGUAUUCGUGAAUCAUCAAAUCUUUGAACGCAAGUUGCGCCCUGGAGACAGCCUUCAGGGCAUGCCUCUUUGAGUAUCUGUUUCUAACUUUCUCCUGUGAAGAGAUUGAGUCGAACGUGAGUUUGUCUUUAAAUUUGUGUUGGGUUGUUUCUUGGAUUGGUUUUCGAGAGUGUGUGCCCGAUUAUAUCAUCAACUUAAACAAAACGAUCUCAAAUGAGGUAAGACUACCCGCUGAAUUUAAGCAUAUUACUAAGCGGAGGAAAAGAAACUAACAAGGAUGGCAUCAGUAACGGCGAGUGAAGCUGCCAGAGCUCAAACCUGAAAUCUCUGCCCUAGGGCAGCGAGUUGUGGUCUAUAGAAGCGUGCUCAGUGGCGGCCCCGGUCUAAAUCAAUUGGAACAUUGUAUCAGAGAGGGUGAGAAUCCCGUCUUGGGCUGGGUGCGUGCCGCGUACGAGCCGCUCUCCAAGAGUCGGAUUGCUUGGGAGUGCAGUCCUAAGUGGGUGGUAAAUUUCAUCUAAAGCUAAAUACAUGUGGGAGACCGAUAGCGAACAAGUACCGUGAGGGAAAGAUGAAAAGAACUUUGAAAAGAGAGUUAAAAAGUACUUGAAAUUGCUGAGAACGAAGGGAUGGCGACUAGUGUUGUGUUGGUGGAUGGGUCCUGCGGUGUGAUUUCUGGAUUGCUAGUCUUCCGGGGAUUAUAUUUGCGGGGUUGCCCAUGCACUGCCUCUGUCAGAAUGGGUUCGCUUCUGUCGAAACUGCCGCUGGGAAGGUAGCUGUUUACAGAACUUACAGCCCGGCGGUGUCGGACGGUCGCGGAUCGAGGCGCUGAAGCAGGCUACGAGAUUGGCUGGUGUCUGCUUGCUAACCGUUCUCGGGCAACAAAGUUGCGCUGGAAUGAGUCGGUGGCACUACCCAGCAUCAAAUCAUCUGUCUGUUCACGAUUCUGACGAAAUGGUCGUCAUUCGCCCGUCUUGAAACACGGACCAAGGAGUCUUACAAGUAUGCGAGUAAUCAGGUGUAAAACUUGUUUGCGUAAUGAAAGUGAUGAGUGUGAUCCUAGCAAUAGGAGCAACACUGGGCGGCUAAAACAAGUGUACGACCCGGAGCAUAGGUGUAGGGACCCGAAAGAUGGUGAACUAUGCUUGAGCAGGAUGAAGGCAGGGGAAACUCUGGUGGAAGUCCGAAGCGAUACUGACGUGCAAAUCGUUCGUCUGACUUGAGUAUAGGGGCGAAAGACUAAUCGAACUAUCUAGUAGCUGGUUCCCUC
rnacentral:misc_RNA from 1 species